rnacentral:rRNA from 1 species
CCUGGCUCAGGACGAACGCUGGCGGCGCGCCUAACACAUGCAAGUCGAACGAGCGAGAGAGAGCUUGCUUUCUCGAGCGAGUGGCGAACGGGUGAGUAACGCGUGAGGAACCUGCCUCAAAGAGGGGGACAACAGUUGGAAACGACUGCUAAUACCGCAUAAGCCCACAGCUCGGCAUCGAGCAGAGGGAAAAGGAGCAAUCCGCUUUGAGAUGGCCUCGCGUCCGAUUAGCUAGUUGGUGAGGUAAUGGCCCACCAAGGCGACGAUCGGUAGCCGGACUGAGAGGUUGAACGGCCACAUUGGGACUGAGACACGGCCCAGACUCCUACGGGAGGCAGCAGUGGGGAAUAUUGCACAAUGGGGGAAAUCCUGAUGCAGCGACGCCGCGUGGAGGAAGAAGGUCUUCGGAUUGUAAACUCCUGUUGUUGAGGAAGAUAAUGACGGUACUCAACAAGGAAGUGACGGCUAACUACGUGCCAGCAGCCGCGGUAAAACGUAGGUCACAAGCGUUGUCCGGAAUUACUGGGUGUAAAGGGAGCGCAGGCGGGAAGACAAGUUGGAAGUGAAAUCCAUGGGCUCAACCCAUGAACUGCUUUCAAAACUGUUUUUCUUGAGUAGUGCAGAGGUAGGCGGAAUUCCCGGUGUAGCGGUGGAAUGCGUAGAUAUCGGGAGGAACACCAGUGGCGAAGGCGGCCUACUGGGCACCAACUGACGCUGAGGCUCGAAAGUGUGGGUAGCAAACAGGAUUAGAUACCCUGGUAGUCCACACUGUAAACGAUGAUUACUAGGUGUUGGAGGAUUGACCCCUUCAGUGCCGCAGUUAACACAAUAAGUAAUCCACCUGGGGAGUACGACCGCAAGGUUGAAACUCAAAGGAAUUGACGGGGGCCCGCACAAGCAGUGGAGUAUGUGGUUUAAUUCGACGCAACGCGAAGAACCUUACCAAGUCUUGACAUCCCUUGACGAUGCUGGAAACAGUAUUUCUCUUCGGAGCAAGGAGACAGGUGGUGCAUGGUUGUCGUCAGCUCGUGUCGUGAGAUGUUGGGUUAAGUCCCGCAACGAGCGCAACCCUUAUGGUCAGUUACUACGCAAGAGGACUCUGGCCAGACUGCCGUUGACAAAACGGAGGAAGGUGGGGAUGACGUCAAAUCAUCAUGCCCUUUAUGACUUGGGCUACACACGUACUACAAUGGCGUUAAACAAAGAGAAGCAAGACCGCGAGGUGGAGCAAAACUCAGAAACAACGUCCCAGUUCGGACUGCAGGCUGCAACUCGCCUGCACGAAGUCGGAAUUGCUAGUAAUCGCAGAUCAGCAUGCUGCGGUGAAUACGUUCCCGGGCCUUGUACACACCGC